CAGCCAUAUCACGCUGAAACACCGGUUCUCGUACGAUCACUGAAGUUAAGCAACGUCCAGUCUGGUCAGUACCUAGAUAAGUGGCCAUUUGGGAACACUAG